rnacentral:rRNA from 1 species
GACGAACGCUGGCGGCGUGCUUAACACAUGCAAGUCGAACGGAGUGGCGAACGGGUGAGUAACACGUGGGUGAACUGCCCUGCACUUCGGGAUAAACUUGGGAAACUGGGUCCAAUACCGGAUAGUGCAAGAGGAGCGCGCGGCCUAUCGGCUGGUUGGUGGGGUAAUGGGCUACCACGGCGGCGCCGGGUAGCCGGCAUGAGAGGGUGUACGGCCACAUGAGGACUGAGGUACGGCGCAGACUCCUACGGGGGGCAGCGGUGGGGAAUAUUGCACAGUGAGCGGAAGCCUGAUGCAGCGACGCCGGGUGGGGGAUGAAGGCCUUCGGGUUGUAAACUCCUUUCGACAGGGACGCGGUACCUGUAUAAGAAGCACCGGCUAACUACGUGCCAGCAGCCGCGGUAAUUC